AGACGUGAAGCUGCUGUCUGAUCUUGUGAAGAGUCCACACUGUAGACUGGAGACUCUGAGAUGGAAGUUGUAUUGAUCUCUAACCACCAUCAUCCCUGUGUGUUCCUCUGGACCUGACAGAGUAUCAUCAGUGUAUCUGGACUCUGUCCUUCUGCACAGUCUCUGCAGACACACUGAGACUCCUCCACUCCUUCUGCUCCACACUCAACCACCUCCUCCACCUGGACCUGGGUUUCACUUUGUCUUCAUUCAUUCAUAUAUUCUGAACCCAAAGUGCCUCUGCAGAUCAGUUCUGUUUAUGACAACAGAACUGUAGAUUAACACAUUUAAAUAGAUGUUUCUGCUUUGCUUUCUGUUGCAGCUCCACCCUGUGGAACGAUGGAGUUCUGCAGUUAAUUUCCACAUACUACUAAAUAUAUAUAUACCAUAUACAAUAUAUAUACCAGUACCAGACGUUUUUCAUAUUAUAACAUUAUGCUUGUAACAAACAUAAAGAAGUAGAUAAAACCUGAACCUGAGGCUUCAGUUUCUCAACUAACUACAAACAGAUUAUGUCUGGAUUUUGGUGGAAAGUCAGCUCCUUAAUAUUGUCUUUUGUAUGUGAUGUUUGAUGUAAAACAAAACAAAAAAAAUCCUGACUAUCUGAGUUUUUGCUACAAAACAAAUCAUAUUUGUUAGUUUAUUACAGAUGUACGUGUCACCCUGCUAGUUUUCACAUUACAUGGCUCCACACAGACACAUGAAGUCAACCUGUGGAGCUUUUCCCCUCAGAAAUCAAUGUUGAAAUUGCCUCCACAGGCUCCAUUACAGUCCACCAGUCCCAGAAACAAAAGCCAAACACCAAAGUGUUUAUAAUUGCUAAGCAAUAUUGGACUCAUUCCUUAAAUUCUGCACAUUCCAGUGAGCUACAUGAGUGUCCUGCGUCGUUUCUUUAAUGUCAUGCAAAUAAAGAAACUAACACGAACCAA